UACGUAGGGUGCAAGCGUUGUCCGGAAUUAUUGGGCGUAAAGAGCUCGUAGGCGGUUUGUUGCGUCGGCUGUGAAAUCCCGAGGCUCAACCUCGGGUCUGCAGUCGAUACGAGCAGACUAGAGUGUUGCAGGGGAGACUGGAAUUCCUGGUGUAGCGGUGAAAUGCGUAGAUAUCGGAAGGAACACCAGUGGCGAAAGCGGCUUCCUGGACCAGUACCGACGUUCAGGCACGAAAGCGUGGGGAGCAAACAGG
rnacentral:rRNA from 1 species